GGGGGGAAGACCUGCUCAAGCCACCUGAGGCAGAGUUAUUCAUCCCAGCAAGGAAGUCAACUGGGAGGCUUCCCCUGAAAGGGACACCGAUGUCUGGGUUCCCUGGGCACCUUCCCACCAACACUAGAUCAGUUGACAAAAGGUGGUCUCUCCGCUAGAGUAGAAGGAAUCAAAGUCACUAGGUUAUUUGGACAAAACCAGCAGAAACUGCAGGGAAAACAAGCCCAACAGCGGAUUUCCUGAAGCCCUCAUUCCUCCCCCAUUCCGAGGAAGAAAUCUACAAGUAUAGAGGGAAAAAAUAAAAACUUUCAAAUUUUAGCAACAAAUGGCUUUGGUGCGUUUGCAUUCUCGCCAGUCUUCAAGGAGUAGAUAAUUUUUAUGCUUCAUAAACAGUUACAGAGCACAACAGGAAGAAAGACCUGCCAGUUUUG
rnacentral:lncRNA from 1 species